UCCCUAGUAGCUUAGAUGGUAAAGCACCUGCCUGCAAUGGAGAAGACCCGGGUUUGGUCCCUGGGUUGGGAA
rnacentral:tRNA from 1 species